rnacentral:rRNA from 1 species
UACGUAGGAUCCAAGCGUUGUCCGGAUUUACUGGGUGUAAAGGGUGCGCAGGCGGACUGGUUAGUCUGGGGUGAAAUCUCAUCGCUUAACGGUGAAACUGCCUUAGAUACUGCCAGUCUUGAAUCAGCGAGAGAUAUGCGGAAUUCCGAGUGUAGCAGUGAAAUGUGUAGAUAUUCGGAAGAACACCAGUGGCGAAGGCGGUCUGCUGGGCAGUUGCUGACACUGGAGGCGCGACAGCGUGGGGAGCAAACAGG